rnacentral:rRNA from 1 species
GACGAACGCUGGCGGCGUGCCUAAUACAUGCAAGUCGAACGAGAGCAACCGGUGCUUGCACUGGUCAAUCUAGUGGCGAACGGGUGAGUAACACGUGGGUAACCUGCCCAUCAGAGGGGGAUAACAUCCGGAAACGGAUGCUAAAACCGCAUAGGUCUUCGAACCGCAUGGUUUGAAGAGGAAAAGAGGCGCAAGCUUCUGCUGAUGGUUGGACCCGCGGUGCAUUAGCUAGUUGGUGAGGUAACGGCUCACCAAGGCCGUGAUGCAUAGCCGACCUGAGAGGGUGAUCGGCCACAUUGGGACUGAGACACGGCCCAGACUCCUACGGGAGGCAGCAGUAGGGAAUCUUCCGCAAUGGACGCAAGUCUGACGGAGCAACGCCGCGUGAGUGAAGAAGGUUUUCGGAUCGUAAAACUCUGUUGUUAGAGAAGAACAAGUGCUAGAGUAACUGUUAGCGCCUUGACGGUAUCUAACCAGAAAGCCACGGCUAACUACGUG